AUUUCAUUUCAUUUCAAAUUUCAAAAAACAACUUCCCUUCGCAGCUUCUCUCUCAUUUCUAAAUUUCUUCAUCUUUCUUCUCAACGGCAACUAUCUCCCUCCUCUUCCCCCUCUCUCCGCCUCCCCUUCUCUCUCGAUCUCUUGUCUCCUUCGUCUUCCUCAGAAUCUUCACUCUUCCUUUCUCUCAAUUUCUAUUCUCUAAAAUGAAGCAUCCACCCAAGAAACCCUAUCUUGCUAAAUACCCAUCUCGCCGAUCCACUGCCAUUUUCUAUUCCAUGCGCUAACGGCGCCGGAAUCAAGGGCGGAAGACCCCUCGGAAGCCUAUGUCGUCUUCCAAAGAAAAUGCUUCACCGUCAGAUCCCAAAUUCCCAACUCCAUGGUUCCCGAUUCCAAACCCUCGCCGACUAAGUUGAAGAGCCUGCUCCAUCUUCUAACCCACUUAAGCGGAAGCUCAGUAUGGAGACCGUUCCUGAGAAUUCCAUCCCUGGGUUGUCUGAUUCUGUUGUUAAGAUUAGAGAAGAUGUAAAAUCUGGUGUAGAAAAUUUAACAGAGGAGUGUGUAUCCACAAUGGCAGCCGUUACUCGGCUUCUAAUGAAGUCGAUUAUGGUGGCUCACUUUGGAAACUUGUUACAUAGCUACUGCCAAAAGCUUUAAAUUGCCUUCCGGAUGCACCUCAAAAUCAGCUUCAUUCUUUGUGUUUUCUAAUUUCUAGCUCACUCAAUUCAGCCAUGGAUGUACGGAGAUAUUCCAAAUUUUAUAAUGCAAAACCUGAUGAAGCCGAUGAUGGUGUUUGCACAAGAGCUUGGAGAUUCUUUUUAUCUUACUUCACAAUUGACGUUCUUUCAGUUCUUCCACUCCCCCAGCCAUGCAGGGUUUACAGAAAGAUUUGAACUUUUCAUUUGUGGUCGUGAGCUGGCCAAUGCAUUUUUCGAAUUGAUCGAUCGUAUUUAUCAGGUAAGAGGUGAUUAUAUCAAUCAUUAAUGUUAGAAGGGUGCACAGAUGAUGAAACUUUUUAGCCAAUUUCAUGGCAUUUGAAAGAGAGAAAGUACAUUAGUAUUGAACUCAAGUUAAACUGGAUAGUCUAUCACCUUUUGGAAGAUAACUUUCCUGUACUUUGUUCCAUCUUGUAUAGACCCUUUCAGUCGAAAGGUUACCAAAGGAAUCGUUUUUGUUAUGUGUUAUGUGCUUAACUCCAUAACAAUGUGCGUCCAAGCUCUACAUGAGCAUUCUAUUCUUCUUGCUUGGUAUACUUGUGCAUUAUUGGUUUAUGUGCCAUGUCAAGAAAUAAUAGUUUCUAUUGGAACGUUUUAGUGUUCCGGUUCCAUGAUAAUUGGAAUGGUUGUAAUGAUCUUUUUCUUUUAAAACAAACAAAAUUGGCACAGAGGAUGAUUAGAAGACCAGAUCAGGCAACACAAUGAGAAGCAUGGCUCAGCUGUUUCUUAUGUAUCUCGUUUCUUAUGUAAUGACUCUUUGGACUUCAAUUGCCAAAAAGAUGAGGAUGAUUCUUAUGAAGUGACACUUGAUGAUGAUUUUCUUACUGCUUUGGAAUAUGGAAUGCCACCAGCUUCUGGACUGAUGUAGGCUGGAAAAGGAGGUGAGCUAACAUUGAAUAGAAGAACCAUAACAAGAGGGGCACUGGAUUCAUUGAGAAAUGGGCGAGAGAUUCCAUGGCUCCCAUUUCUUUAACUUUUGCAAUCGAUAGUAAUGUCGAUCUUGACAGGAAUGUUGGAAUGAAGAUUUAGGAAUUAAUUCCUCUUUCUUAGAAGAAUCUAAAUCUAUACAAAGGUCUUCUUUUUUGUUUCCAAUCAUCUGAGGUAAUCUUGUAGGUUCUUUAAUUCUUGGUGGAAAUUCUAGACUACCUGAGUGCAAAUCAUACUUACGGUUGCUGAACAUCAUAGUGCCAUUGUUCCUUGGCAACUUAUAGCUGAAAGGACCGGUGUUGUUCUGAAGUUUGUAAGUUUAGGUGAACAUAAUGUCCCAAACUUACUAGAGUUAAAGGAAAUGUUUUCAACAAAAACAAAGCUUGUGGUUACCUAUCAUGUCUCAAAAUGUACUGGGUACACCAUUCUAUUUGAUAUUUAGCAUUUUUUUUAAUCUAUUUCCUUUUUAUACCAUUCAAUUUAUAAACAUUACUCAAAUAAAACAAGUAGUAGGUGAAUAUUUCAAACUGAAGUGUUAUCAUAUUACUUCAGUUAUCACACUUCUAGUGGAAAGGUUUGCAGCUGAAUAAAAACAAUAAAGUCAAAUGAAUGAAGAAUGAAAAGAACUGUCAGACAUUUUUCCUUCUCUUGAUCUGUGUCCAGUUACUCUUGAUAUCUUUCUAAUAAUAACUAUAUGCAAAUAGUGGAAUUCAGUAUGAUUUGAUUUUUUUCUCUGCAACUUAUGUUCUUCCAAUUGAAGAAAUAGUUGGCUUAGCACAUCAUUUUGGGGCAAAAGUGCUUGUAGAUUCGUGCUAGAGUGUUCUACACAUAGUUGUCGACAUCUAGGCACUUGAUGCUGACUUUCUUAUUGCUUCUUCUCACAAGGUUAGGUUGUUUUCUUAUUAAUUAAAUGGCAAGCCUUACAUUUGGGCAUAUGAAGAUAAGGAAUAAACAUGCUUCAGAUGUGUGGGCCUACAGGCAUUGGAUUCUUGUAGAUUGAUCUAUUGUUUGCAAUGCCUCCAUUCUUAGAUGGUGGAGAUUUCUUGACCAUUCCACAUUUGCACAACCUCGUUCCAGAUUUGAAGCUGGGACGCCUACAAUUGGAGAAGCAAUUGGUUUGGGGAGCUGCUAUUGAUUAUCUAUCUAGGAUCGAAAUGCAAAAAAUUCAUAGUUACGAAGUGAGUUGAUUGAAAUUUGGUAUAUACCCUUUGUUUGAGAAUUUUUGGGCGGUGAAAAAUGCGUGAAGCAACUAAAUCAGGGUAUCAACUAAAUAAAUACCUUCAUAGUAAGUUAGUAAUAGAAUUUUUUUUCUUUAAUCAAGGAAUUUAUGUAUUAUUUUUCUAUCAACUAGGUUACCUGGAACACUGAAAAUUCAGAAUGAUAUGAUAAAUAUGUUUACUAGUUUUAAGACUUUAGUCUAACGACGAGGAGGUGUUGUAUGCUAACAGGAAGAAUUGGCGAAUUAUCUAUAUGAAAACCUUCGUGCAGUCCCUAACAUUCGAAUA